rnacentral:rRNA from 1 species
AUUGAACGCUGGCGGCAGGCCUAACACAUGCAAGUCGAGCGAGCGGCGGAAGGGGGAGUAAUGUAUGGGGACUGCCCGAUAGAGGGGGAUAACAACUGGAAAAGGUAGCUAAUACAGCAUACUAUCGGAUAACACACAUGGGAUUAUCUAGGUGGUGAGUGAAUGGCGCACCAAGGCGACGAUCCAUAGCUGGUCUGAGAGGAGGAUCAGCCAUACUGGGACUUAGACACGGCCCAGACUCCUACGGAGGCAGCAGUGGGGAAUAGUGCACAAUGGGCGCAAGCCUGAUGCAGCCAUGCCGCGUGUAUGAAGAAGGCCCUAGGGUUGUAAAGUACUUUCAGUCGGGAGGCGUUACCGACAGAAGAAGCACCGGCUAACUCCGUGCCAGCAGCCGCGGUAAUUC